ensembl:lncRNA LINC02551 long intergenic non-protein coding RNA 2551
AGGCAGUGUAAAGGAGUCAGAGCUUCUGUUCAUCAGAAUCCAUACGGCAGAGUCAGGGAGAUGGUUCCAGGAGAAGAAAAGAAAGUCAGUUGCUUUCUGAGAUCAGGUGGGAAGUUUAUCCUGUCAACUCCACCUUUAGAGUGCUAGUCUCUGGAGCCACAAGGACUGAAACUCUGCUUCAGAGACCCACCACUGAUGACAACCAUCAGGCUCAGGAACUGAAAAGAAAUGGUGCAAAUGUGGCCGAGGGACUUGGGUUUUACAUUUAUUGCCGAGUCUGGUUUUCUUGAGUUUCAGAUGAUAAAAUUGAAGCCCAGAGAAGCUUGGGAGCCUCAACUAUUAAUGGAAAAACCAUAACUAGAACUGAGUUUUCCUGAGACAUUUUUUACUAUUCAUUCCCCUGCUCUUGGGCCACUCCAGGGCACUGAGCACACUUGCUUUGGCUAUUUGGAGAAGAGGCCAAUAGACACAACUGGCUUCAUCUUCAGGGACACCCAAUAUCUGGCAGCCCUCAGCCCCAGCGGAGUCUUUAUUGAAAGAACUGAUUCAUAGACCAGGCGCGGUGGCUCACGCCUAUAAUC